CGGGUUGUAAAGCACUUUCAGUAGGGAGGAAGGUAGUGUAGUUAACACCUGCAUUAUUUGACGUUACCUACAGAAGAAGCACCGGCUAACUCCGUGCCAGCAGCCGCGGUAAUACGGAGGGUGCGAGCGUUAAUCGGAAUUACUGGGCGUAAAGCGCAUGCAGGUGGCCUGUUAAGUCAGAUGUGAAAGCCCGGGGCGUUAACCUCGGAAUUGCAUUUGAAACUGGCAGGCUAGAGUCUUGUAGAGGGGGGUAGGAAUUUCAGGUGUAGCGAUGAAAUAGCGUAGAGAUCUGAAGGAAUACCAGUGGCGAAGGCGGCCCCCUCGGACAAAGACUGACGCUCAGAUGCGAAAGCGUGGGGAGCAAACAGGAUUAGAUACCCUCGGUAG
rnacentral:rRNA from 1 species